GACAGAGGAUGCAAGCAUUAUCCAAAAUGAUUGGGCGUAAAGCAUCUGUAGGUAGCUUUUCAAGUCCGCCGUCAAAUCUCAGGGCUCAACCCUGGACAGGCGGUGGAAACUACCAAGCUAGAGUACGGUAGGGGCAGAGGGAAUUUUCGGUGGAGCGGUGAAAUGCAUUGAGAUCAAAAAGAACACCAACGGCAAAAGCACUCUGCUGGGCCGACACUGACACUGAGAGACGAAAGCUAGGGGAGCAAAUGGG
rnacentral:rRNA from 1 species